UGACAACGGCUAUCACACCUGCGAAUUAAGCAGUUCAGAGAGAUACCUUGAGCCGGAAAGAAUGGAAGAAAGGCUCGGCUAGGAUUAUUAUGGCACAACUACUGAAUCUCUUUUCAGGAUAUCUCCAUGUUCUAGUAAUCCGUGUAGUAAUGGAGGGACGUGCUCUCAAGGCAAGCGGUCUGGUGAAUUUUCCUGCCAGUGCCUUCCACAAGUGACCGUGCUUCCGUUUAUUGACAACAAUUGUAAUAUUGACACGAAGAAGAUGGUUCGCUACAAAUCUGUGGAAGGAGUGUUUCAUACUAAAACAGGCAGGUAUAAACUAAACUAUGAAAAUGCCAAACGUUUAUGUGCACUUCACGGAGCACAAUUGGCCACAUACAGCCAACUACACAAGGCCUGGCAAGCAGGAGCUGAAAUG